AUUUGGGGCACUGCGCGUGCAAUCUAAUGUGCCACCAUAUAGGAGUAGUACUAUUCUUACCAGUUUAAUCCCUGUUACGUCCCCAAUCAGGGGACGUGUAUAUGGCAUCGAUUUUAGGAACCGGGAGAUGGAAAAAGUUGCUUGGUCGGUCCUCCUUCUUCAAAUUUGGGGCACUGCGCGUGCAAUCUAAUGUGCCACCAGAUAGGAGUG
rnacentral:snRNA from 1 species